rnacentral:rRNA from 1 species
UACAGAGGUCCCAAGCGUUGUUCGGAUUCACUGGGCGUAAAGGGUGCGUAGGCGGUCGGGUAAGUCUGAUGUGAAAUCUCACAGCUUAACUGUGAAACUGCAUUGGAUACUAUUCGGCUAGAGAGUUGGAGGGGGGACUGGAAUUCUUGGUGUAGCAGUGAAAUGCGUAGAUAUCAAGAGGAACACCAAUGGCGAAGGCAGCUCGCUGGGACGGUACUGACGCUGAGGCGCGAAAGCGUGGGGAGCAAACAGG